ACCUGCUUGAUGGUCUGAUUUAAUGUAUGAUUGUAGCCUGUCGUAUUAGUGGACCUGCCAGAUUUAUGUACUGGUGGGGCAACUUUAUGCAUUUAGUGAAGCUAUAACAUGGCAUGGAUGGUACAUUUGGUACAUUUAGAAGGUAAUUUAUGCCAUUUUUGGUGCAACUGUGAAGCUAUAACAUGGCAUGGAUGGUAAAAACAACAAUUGUUUAGUUCAUGUUUGCUAGCCCUACGCAACACUAAAGCCCAGUGUGAAAAUGCUCCUGCUGGAUCAUAACCCUGAUGAUAUAACAUAAUAAACUAUUCCUCUAUCUUGCAUGAUCGGGCGAAAGGAAGGGAUAAAGAAUAACAAACAAGAAGAAAAAGAUAGAAUUGAACAACCGUACAGGCAUCUUUUGUGCAUUGCAUACGGCUUUGCAAUGGAAUUUCUUUUUCCCUUCCAUCGAAGAAAGAGACAAAUAGAAUCCAUCAGACCCAGAUCGUUGAAUGAUCCAUUUACCAUCCUUCCUUAUGUAGGAGUCAAAAAGUUAUUGCAUUAACCAAUUUUGUAUAUCUUUGCUAGAAUUAUAUCUUAAUAUGCUUGCUACAGUACAGUAUCUGUUACCAUUCAUGGACAGUACCCUGUGAAAUUCCUUUGCUUAUGGGUUUAAUGAUCCUUGCAAAUAUAAUGAAAAAUACACCCAAUGGUUAGAAUGGCCACUCACUCAUUCUGUCCCAACAGGCGUCUAAGAGGAGCGAUCCUAUAUUGUGGCAGCAUAUUGCUCAUAUUGUGGCAGCAUCUUAUGCUCCAAACAACAGAAAGCUCCUAAAUAGGCUCCACAAUCUUCACUUGAGUGCUGUUUUCUGAGAAGGUUGGAAAUUUUUUUCCAGACUAAUAGUGCCACUUUGGUACUUGACUUUAUAUCUUCUCACACUUACAAGGGAUCAUAUUCGAAGACAUGUUGCUGUUAAGAGUGGAAAGUUUUUAAGUUGUUGUGUAGGGAAUCUUACCACCUUGAGUUCCAUAUAAUUUCAAUUUCUCUUUAAUAUACUUUCUUUUGACCUGAUUAAGAGAAAACGAAAGUGAAGGGUAUUUUGGUGACUGCAUGUGUUAGGUCAAUUUGUUAUUGCCUUCUUUUGCAUGUUGUAAUGAUUGUCUUGUUUCAUGUCUUAGACGAUGCUAUUUGGGUGACAUCAUCCUUUCAAUUUUUUUUUCUCUACUAUGAAAUAUAUUGCUUGAGUUACUUCUCUUCAAAACUUAUUGGAUCACAAUUAUUCCACGAUUUUUGUUUUUGUAUUACUAGUGAACUGACAUGUUGGUUUCUAGUUUGUUCUCUCUUUUCUUCUUUGGAUAAUUGAAAUUUUUGUUUUGUUAUUGGCAAUAUCUUGAAAUUUUUAUUUGAUGCGGUGCUUGUAACCACUUUCCAGUCCCUUCAAUCACUGUUAAUGUUUCUUUUACCACUGGAAGAAAAACAAUAUCCUUUCACCACAAGUUUGUUUAGCAUUCUAACUUGGGGGCCGAUAAUCUCUUAGUAUUUGGUUACGCACUUUGGUUAUGCACUGUGCAGGUGAAAGGAUUUCUUUUUACCAUAUUCAAAUAGCAGUCAAUCCUAAGGCAAGUUGAAGGUUUAGUCAAAGCACCCUACCAAAAUAACAUUGUUCAUUCAAGAUUUGUUUAAUUUUGGAAGUUAGCUCCAUCCUGUUAAAGAAGCAGUUUGCUGUAGGAAUUGGGGAUCGUCCUGUUGUGUUUGUUACUCAUAGGUUUUCAUUGGAUUUCAUUUCUUUUUUUUAUGUCAACAUAUUUUAUGCAUUUCAUGAUCUAUGACCUUUCUCAUAGCAUGAUGUCAGACAUUGUUACUCUCUUAGGGUGGCUGCUAUAUUGAACUUUUUCUUUUGUACUUGAUUGAAUAGAAUUUUCUUAGAUAUGCCUUCUCAGAUACAUUUUCGAGGAAUAUGGGUGUCAAAUCUAUCAUAUAUCUUAUCAAACUCAGAUGUACUCUCUUA